GGAGGAGUGGCUGAGCGGUCUAAAGCAACAGGUUGCUAACCUGUGGCGCCUUAUCGGCGCCCCGUGGGUUCAAAUCCCACCUCCUCCGCCA
rnacentral:tRNA from 2 species